UGGGGAAUAUUGCACAAUGGGCGCAAGCCUGAUGCAGCAACGCCGCGUGAGUGAAGAAGGCCUUCGGGUCGUAAAACUCUGUCCUAAGGGAAGAAGAAGUGACGGUACCUUAGGAGGAAGCCCCGGCUAACUACGUG
rnacentral:rRNA from 1 species